UACGAAGGGGGCUAGCGUUGCUCGGAAUCACUGGGCGUAAAGCGCACGUAGGCGGCUUUCUAAGUCAGGGGUGAAGUCCUGGAGCUCAACCCCAGAACUACCUUUGAUACUGGAGAGCUUGAGUCCGGAAGAGGUGAGUGGAACUCCGAGUGUAGAGGUGAAAUUCGUAGAUAUUCGGAAGAACACCAGUGGCGAAGGCGGCUCACUGGUCCGGUACUGACGCUGAGGUGCGAAAGCGUGGGGAGCAAACAGG
rnacentral:rRNA from 1 species